CCCUCCUUUCUCUCCCCUAUCUCUGCGAUUCUUCAUCUCCCAUCUCUUUUCCCCUUUCACCGUUGUCUUUCUCCUCUCAUCCCCCCUUCACCAAUGCUCUUGGUUACGGCACCUUUCUCGGGCGAACCAUCACCGUGAGCGACGACGAUAAUGACGGGAAGUUUCUUUUGUUCUCUUUCUUCUUCUUCUUCUUCUGCAGUUUCUUUCUUUCUUCUAUUAUCAUCAUAUGUUUCAUUUACUUGGGGUUUCAAUUUGCAGAAGCAUAAACAAUCAGCACAACAAAAAGAUAGGAGCAUGAAUAAAACUUUACCUCUGGAAGAGCAAAGAGGCAAGAAUGAAGAUAGGUGCAGGGCUAGAAAACUCCAUAUUUCAAACUAGAGGAACUGUUUGUCAGUGUAGUUCUGGGCUAAGAAUUCAAAGCUUUUGAAGACAAAAUGGCCACUUGCAUGAAGUUUUUGUGAAUGGGUUUGAAUUGAGGAGCAUUUGUUACUAUUCACUUCUGAUUUUUUCGGUGCUGCUCUUCUCUUUUUCAACCUCUGCAAAGUAUAGUGUCUACAAAGUGUCUAAAGAAUUACAAUAUCAUUUUUGUUUAUUGGUGCAAGUAUAGUGUCACAGUGGAUCUCAUGAUAUAUGUACAGAGUGUCUAAAGAAGUAUGCGAAGGGAUUUAGAUAGCAUUUUUACAUUGACAAACUUGAUUUUAGAGGGAUGGUGGAAUAACCAAACAACUUGACACCGC